CUUCUUUGGUGGGAGUACUUGUUCCCAGGAACUCAGUGCUACAGUACUUGAACAACCAGAACCAUGAAGCAAUUCUUCAUAAAGACAGCAAUGCCCCUUUCAUGACUUGAAGUUCUGAUUAAUCCUGGAAUCAGAAGCCCUUUUGGGAAGAACUGCGUCACUUAGUAACCACAGUUAUAGAACCAAACAAGUCUUUUAAGACCUCCUUUUACACAAUGCUGCUCAACUAUUAUUAAACUCUCAAGCCAUAAUUAAUGGCUACAUUAUGCUAUCACACAAGGCAGCAAAAUAAGUUUGAGCAACCUUAAAUCUUAACAACCGAUUUUUUAAAUGACUGCACUUUGACUUGUCCUAAGCCUAAACUUCAACACACAUUGGCAACUAACAGGCUAGGUUCCAAAAGCCAUAAGGUACACAACAUUACUACUUUAAACUACAGAAAGUAAAACACAAUUUUCUACAAUAUUAAGAGCUUAUCUCAGAGUUCCAAACUUUUUUCAUGUUUUUAAAUAUUCAAAUACGAUCAAGUUGAUUUAAAUGGUUAACAUAAGAGUCUUUGGAGGAAGGGGUAUUUUUUAAUAUUAUAUUUCAGAAAAAAAUCAGCCUACCACCUUGCAGUUAACUGAAUUUGCUGCAUGUAGCAUCUAUUUUUCUAAAUUACAAAAAUAUCCAUUCUUAAAAGUUCCCACUAAAAAUACUCAGUAUUUUUCUCAGGGAAUAAUUUGAGCUUUACGUGCUACUUUCUCUGCACUUCACCAUCUUUCAAUGUUUUCUUAUUUUGCCACUGCUGAAUACAGUCCCCCUGGAGUUCUUCUCCCUCACUAUGGCACUGAUGGCCAUUCUUGCCUGGGGAUGGCCACCCACUGAGCAGAAACCAGCCCUUUUCCUAAGAGCUGGGGGUGUACUUUCAUCUCGCCACUCAGCCUCAACAGCAAGACAAACAGCUAGUAUGAAUUGGGGCAAUGAACACUGAUUUCCAAAGGACCAGGCAGCACAAAAACAAAUAACUGUUUUAUGGUGACCAACAAUAUCUACAGCAGACAACCAGAGCAGAAAACAAGAAAUAUUCCACAAGUAACAACUUCUAAGAUGUUUAAAAGAUCAAAAUUAUGUGGGUGUUUCCAAAUUCUAAAAUAUUCCAGUUAUAGACACAACCAAAAAAUAACCACAAAACUGUCUCACUACAUUUUAA